CUUGCAGUCCAAGGGACUCUCAAGAGUCUUCUCCAACACCACAGUUCAAAGCAUCAAUUCUUCGAGACAGCUUUCUUUAUGGUCCAACUCUCACAUCCAUACAUGACUACUGGAAAAACCAUAGCUUUAACUAUACAGACCUUUGUUGAUAAAGUAA